rnacentral:rRNA from 1 species
GAUUAAUGCUUGACCGACCUGCCCCAUACGCCGGAAUAGGUCCUGGAACCGGGUGGUAAUGCCGGAUGCUCCAGUUGCACCGCGUGGUCCUUACGGGAAAGCUUUUGCGGUAUGGGAUGGGGUCGCGUCUUAUCAGCUUGAUGGCGUGGUAACGGCCCACCAUGGCUUCGACGGGUAGCCGGCCUGAGAGGGCGACCGGCCACAUUGGGACUGAGAUACGGCCCAGACUCCUACGGGAGGCAGCAUUGGGGAAUAUUGCACAAUGGGCGCAAGCCUGAUGCAGCGACGACGCGUGCGGGAUGACGGCCUUUGGGUUGUAAACCGCUUUUGACUGGGAGCAACCCCUUCGGGGUGAGUGUUCCUCUCGGAUAAGCACCGGCUAACUACGUGCCAGCAGCCGCGGUAAUACGUAGGGUGCAAGCGUUAUCCGGAAUUAUUGGGCGUAAAGGGCUUGUAGGCGGUUCGUCGCGUCCGCUGUGAAAGUCCAUCGCUUAACGGUGGAUCCGCGCCGGGUACGGGCGGUCUUGAGUGUGGUAGGGGAGACUGGAAUUCCCGGUGUAACGGUGGAAAGUGUAGAUAUCGGGAAGAACACCAAUGGCGAGGGCAGGUCUCUGGGCCGUCACUGAUGCUGAGGAGCGAAAGCGUGGGGAGCGAACAGGAUUAGAUACCCUGGUAGUCC